rnacentral:rRNA from 1 species
CACGUACUGCGCGAGCGUUAUUCGGAAUCACUGGGCGUAAAGGGUGCGUAGGCGGUUCAAUUAGUCAGGUGUGAAAUCCCAUGGCCCAACCAUGGAACUGCACUUGAAACUGUUGAACUUGAGUUCUCUAGGGGUGAGCGGAACUUCCGGUGGAGCGGUGAAAUGUGUUGAGAUCGGAAGGAACACCAAGAGCGAAAGCAGCUCACUGGGGAGAUACUGACGCUGAGGCACGAAAGCCAGGGGAGCGAACGGG